UACGAAGGGUGCGAGCGUUAUUCGGAAUAACUGGGCGUAAAGAGUUUGAAGGCGGCUUUUUAAGUCAGCUGUUAAAUCCCCCGGCUUAACCGGGGAUAUGCAGUUGAUACUGGAGAGCUAGAGUGUGGGAGAGAAGGGUAGAAUUCUCGGAGUAGCGGUAAAAUGCGUAGAUCUCGAGAGGAAUACCGGUUGCGAAGGCGGCCCUUUAGCCCACUACUGACGCUCAAGAACGAAAGCGUGGGGAGCAAACAGG
rnacentral:rRNA from 1 species